CACUGGCUGGAGGGUGAGGAGGCAGCCAGCCCCAAGGGGCCAUGAGAGACCAUGCUAAGGAGCUUGGUUUUCCCAUCUGCCUUGGGGAACAGGGAAGGGUUUCAGGCAGGUGCCCGAAGCGUUUAGGUCGGCCUUUUAAAUAAGACCUUCUGUUUGGUGAUUUGAGCAGUGGAUUUGGCUAUUCCCACAACGCAGGUGAAGAUGCAGAGGGGCUUCUCUUGAGCAGCUGGAUGGAGGGGGAGAAUGGUCUGAGGAAUAUUUGAGAGGUAAAAUCAGCAAAAUUUGUUGAUUGAUGAUUUACACGGGGUAAGGGAGUGAGGGGAGCCCAUGAUGCCGGCCAGGCAGGUGGAUGUUGGGGUUACUGUCUGUAUCAGUCCAGGUGCAACCAGGAACACCAAAACCACUCUACAGCCUUUAAAACAGGAGAUUAACGCAGGGAUUGGUUACAUCCUGAUGGAAGAAACUCCCAGAGAAGCCAGCUAGGGAACAGCUGGAAGCUGUUAGCACCGCUAGGCUGAAGGGGCAAGAGACAGAGGGAGAGAGAGGAGACAUGGGGAGGCUGGAACCACAGUGCGCCUCUAUGGAUGGAGUUGAGCCACUGCCAGAAACUCCAUUCAAAACAGAGAGGGAGGGGGAGAAAGGCCCACUUCUCCUUUCUUCGGACUUCCAGUCUCGCCAGUGCCCCCCGGUGGCCGGACCCCUGGGGAAACCAGUUCACAAGGGAGUCUGCUAAGCUGAAAAGGCUAAGAAUUUGGUCUGAGCUCCAGCACACCAGCCCAAGGAGAGAUGUCCAGGAGGCACUUGCUGGACCCACGAUUCCAAAGACCGGGGGCAGAGAUCUGCAUCUGCGCAGUGGGAUUUACCAGCAGAAGGGCAGUAGUUACAGGGAGAGCAAUGGAUGUGCUCACAGGGGCAGAGAGUGGACUCACACCGGGGAGGAACCUCAGUCUGAAACUCUGCUGAGGAUUCUCACAGACGAGCACAGGCGCAAUCCCAGCCUUCCGUGGUUUUGUUUCUGCUGGUUUGGUUUUUCAAAAAACACCAACACCCACCUAAGAGCACAAGGAACCUUUGCUCAGCCUCCCCUGGCUUCACUGGGUCUACUGCCCUCGCCGCGCCCGGCCUGUGUCUUGGUCACUAAAGGUCCUAGGGGCUGACACCAAGCCACGGAGCCACCGCCCCGACCGCAGGCGAGAAGGCGACUCGGCCCGGACACCGCCCCACGUGCGCUCCCUCCCGGCGCGCCGGACCCGGAAGUGCGCGCCUCACGUGCUCUGCGGGAAGGUGCCGGACGCCGGCCAAGGGGGCGGUCUCCGUUUCUGCGUGCCUGCGUCAUCGCGUCAUCUGGCGGGG
rnacentral:lncRNA from 1 species